GAUGAACGCUGGCGGCGUGCUUAACACAUGCAAGUCGAACGGGAAAUAUUUCAUUGAGACUUCGGUGGAUUUGAUCUAUUUCUAGUGGCGGACGGGUGAGUAACGCGUGGGUAACCUGCCUUAUACAGGGGGAUAACAGUCAGAAAUGGCUGCUAAUACCGCAUAAGCGCACAGAGCUGCAUGGCUCAGUGUGAAAAACUCCGGUGGUAUAAGAUGGACCCGCGUUGGAUUAGCUGGUUGGUGGGGUAACGGCCCACCAAGGCGACGAUCCAUAGCCGGCCUGAGAGGGUGAACGGCCACAUUGGGACUGAGACACGGCCCAGACUCCUACGGGAGGCAGCAGUGGGGAAUAUUGCACAAUGGGGGAAACCCUGAUGCAGCGACGCCGCGUGAAGGAAGAAGUAUCUCGGUAUGUAAACUUCUAUCAGCAGGGAAGAUAGUGACGGUAC
rnacentral:rRNA from 1 species